CCUACGGGAGGCAGCAGUAGGGAAUAUUGCACAAUGGGGGAAACCCUGAAGCAGCAACGCCGCGUGGAGGAUGAAGGUUUUCGGAUUGUAAACCCCUUUUGGUAGAGAAGAUAAUGACGGUAUCUAACGAAUAAGCACCGGCCAACUCCGUGCCAGCAGCCGCGGUAAUACGGAGGGUGCAAGCGUUACUCGGAAUCACGGGGCGUAAAGAGCGCGGAGGCGGGAUAGCAAGUCAGAUGUGAAAUCCUAUGGCUUAACCUUAGAACUGCAUUUGAAACUGUUAUUCUAGAGUAUGGGAGAGGUAGGUGGAAUUCUUGGUGUAGCGGUGAAAUCCGUAGAGAUCAGGAGGAAUACUCGUUGCGAAGGCGGCCUGCUGGAACAUAACUGACGCUGAUGCGCGAAAGCGUGGGGAGCAAACAGGAUUAGAUACCCGAGUAGUC
rnacentral:rRNA from 1 species